UGAGGAGGUAAUAUAAAACAGAAAAAGAUCUAGGCAAUUUCAGAUCUUUUGUCUCUUCCUUAUUGUUGAAAUAUUCUUAGGCUUUAAUGUAUUUCUGUCAAAUUGUUAAUCUCUAGUGAUAGUAUACCUACGCAGUUCUAUACUUUAAAAUGCAAAUAGACUGCAGUCUAUCAAACGCAACUUCCUUUUUCUGUUGUCAAGGGGAAACUGCUUGAAAGAAACGUCUAGCUUCUCACACUGCUUCAAGAAGGACACAGUAAAAGUGGACUCUUAACUUACAGGUGAAAAACAUCUGUAUGCUUGGUGGCUGUCAAUCACAUUAAAAAACUGCCUUUGUCAGAGUUCCUCUCCUUUUAAGUGAGAAUGAUGUCCAACCAUUCAUAUGGACCACACCUCUGUAAGACCAACAUGUGGGAGGAGGUGAGGCUGUUCCAAAGGGUUGUGUACAGCCCUGUGUUUCUGCUGGGUCUGGCCCUGACCCUCUCUGCUCUGAGGGAGCCAGCUUUACAGACACACACAUCUACAUGUUCAACCUGGCUGUGGCCGACUGCGCCUUCAUCACCUUCCUGCCCUUCAGGAUCUACCACACCUUCUUCAGCAUUACCUCUCCUGGCCUCUGUGCUGUUCUGGUUCUCAUUCAUUUCACCAACAUGUACGCUAGUAUUUUCACUGUUACGGCUAUCAGUGUUCAGAGAUUCAUCGCCAUUCAGUUUCCCUUCCACUCCAGGAGAAUGGGCUCCAAGAAACAAGUGGCUGUUGUAGUGUGUGAUGAUAUGGGUAACUAUUGUGGUCCUAUGUGUGAUAUUCAGGGAGCACAAUAGACCUGAGCACAAUCUAGCCUGCUUUGAGAGGGAAUUCCAUUUGUUUCCACUGGGCUACAUUCUGACUCUGGAGAUACUGGGUUAUGUGGUUCCUGUUCUCACAAUGCUGCUUUGUUCAUGUCAGUCAAUCUGCACUCUGCUGGCCUACAAGGACAUGCACUCAUAUAAGGACAACAGGAAACAUAUUAGAAUAAUAUCAGCCAAUUUGAUAGUCUUUUUCAUCUGUUACACUCCUAUCCAUACAGCAUUUUUCAUGAAAUUCUAUGUUGCCUACAAAGUCCCAACUGACUGCCAACAGUAUAAUUUGAUGCAUAACUUCUAUCAUGUCUCAGAAGGGAUUGCCACAACAAGCUGCUGUUUAGAUGCUAUUGGAUAUUUCUUCUUGGUAAAGGAGUUCCGCAAGGAACUGAUCCCAGGGAAGUCAGUGUAAAGAGAGAACCGAGACUCUCCAGAGAGAAUUGCUCUCUCUAGAACCGGAUAGGAAUGGAGAGGAAUUAUCAGCUACUGUAUAUUCUGUUUUGGCCUAGUGAAUGCUGUCACUUGAAAAAUCCUAAAAAAUCUGAUGGUUAUACAGAUAUAUGAAUUAUAUACAUAUUUUCCAGCUA